rnacentral:rRNA from 1 species
GAACGCUGGCGGCGUGCCUAACACGAUGCAAGUCGAACGGGGUCGAGUUGUGGAAGGUCCUUCGGGGCGGAAGCUUUGACUUAGUGGCGAACGGGUGAGUAACGCGUGAGCAACCUGCCUUUCAGAGGGGGACAACGGUUGGAAACGACCGCUAAUACCGCAUGAAGCAGCGAAGGGGCAUCCCUUUGCUGCCAAAGAUUUUAUCGCUGAAAGAUGGGCUCGCGUCUGAUUAGGAUAGUUGGUGGGGUAACGGCCUACCAAGUCGACGAUCAGUAGCCGGACUGAGAGGUUGAACGGCCACAUUGGGACUGAGAUACGGCCCAGACUCCUACGGGAGGCAGCAGUGGGGAAUAUUGGGCAAUGGGGGAAACCCUGACCCAGCAACGCCGCGUGAAGGAAGAAGGCUUUCGGGUUGUAAACUUCUUUUACCAGGGACGAAGAAAAUGACGGUACCUGGAGAAUAAGCCACGGCUAACUACGUGCC